rfam:Homo sapiens chromosome 12, GRCh38 reference primary assembly.
GCUGGGCGUGGUGGCUCACGCCUGUAAUCCCAGAACUUUGGGAGGCUGAGGCGGGUGGAUCACCUGAGGUCAGGGGUUCGAGACUAGCCUGACCAACAUGGUGAAACCCCGUCUCUA